UAUAAAACAAAAGGCAAAAUGAAAAUCAAACUUUACUAACUAAACUGAACAAAACUAAUCACUGAAAACAUAGAAUAGGAAACCUGUGGCAUGGACAAGACACAUGAAGGGAGGUGAACUGACAUUCCAACAAGGUACAAGGGGGGACUAACACAAUAAAUACACAGACAGUGAUUAGGAGAGUGGAAACAGCACAGAAAAACAGCUGGAACAAAUUAGGACUAUCAAAAUAAGACAGGAACUGCAUCACCCCUGAUGACAGGUGGACAAGUGGACAGCAAGCUCUCCUCCAGCUGCAUGGACAGGCCCUGAAAUACUGUACUUUGACUAAAAGACUCUACAUGUAAGCAAGUAACUCUACAGACACAACCUAGAAGACUGGUAAAUAAAAAUAAAUACAUUUUACUGGUGUCCUUCUAUAAAAUUUGAUUAAAUCUAACAAUAUAUGUCAGCUGUCUUCAAGUAACAAACUAAAAUGUGAGU
ensembl:lncRNA